AUGGCUGAUGCCUCAAUGACCCCCCCUAAAGGAAGUGUAGGCCCAUUCACCCUGCCACUUGAAAUCUCUUAUGAUGAAUGGAGCAAGGGGGUGAAACGCGUCUGCAUUGUUGAACACACAGAGGUGAUUGACCCAGUAAAGCAACUCUAUCAAAGGAGAAAUG